CCCUUAGAUGUUCUGGGCCGCACGCGCGCUACACUGAAGGGAUCAGCGUGUUUUCCCUUCCCGAGAGGGACGGGUAACCCGCUGAACCCCCUUCGUGGUAGGGAUCGGAGCUUGCAAUUGUUCCCCGUGAACCAGGAAUUCCCAGUAAGCGCAAGUCAUAAGCUUGCGUUGAUUACGUCCCUGCCCUUUGUACACACCGCCCGUCGCUACUACCGAUUGAACGUUUUAGUGAGGUAUUUGGACUGGGCCUUGGGAGGUUUCGGCCUCCCUUGUUGCUCGGAAAGACUCCCAAACUUGAGCGUUUAGAGGAAGUAAAAGUCGUAACA
rnacentral:rRNA from 1 species